GGUGUUCGGUUAAGUCCGGUAACGAGCGCAACCCCUGCCCUUAGUUACCAGCGGGUAAUGCCGGGAACUCUAAGGGGACUGCCUUGGUUAACGAGGAGGAAGGUGGGGACGACGUCAAGUCAUCACGGCCUUUAUGUCCAGGGCCACACACGUGCUACAAUGGCCGGCACAAAGGGUUGCCAACCCGCGAGGGGGAGCCAAUCCCAAAAAUCCGGACCUCAGUUCGGAUUGCAGUCUGCAACUCGACUGCAUGAAGUCGGAAUCGCUAGUAAUCGCGAAUCAGCAGGUCCGCGGUGAAUACGUUCCCGGGCCUU
rnacentral:rRNA from 1 species